UGGGCCGGUCGAUGUUCCGCGUGUGCGACAAAAACAGACGCCAAAAUGGCAUUUUAACAAUUAAAUUGGUGAUAAACAGUUGAGUGAAGUGUUCUAAUAUAUCCCACGGAUACCCUUUCAACAAAUUAAUCUGUCUAAUGGCAAAUAUUCGUGCUAUUUGUGUCGGUGUACAUGGUAGUGUGUCGAGGACAAAGAACUGCCCGUUGAACAGCAUGCUAAAUCACCAUUGUUGGAGUAUUCUGUUACUAAAAAUCGGCUGAGUGAUUUUUUCUUUGAUAAUUAACAAUUGAUAGUGGAUUUUACGGUGAAUGUGACUGAGAAUUUUCAGACGUUUGACGAUUUUUCGUGCAGUGUUGUGGGAAUUUUUGUCCGUGGCGUAAACACCGGCUCUCAGUGUUGUGUGAGAGAGACAAAAUAUGAACAUCCUAUGAGCUAGACAGUAACAACUGCAUGUGUGAGUUUUUUAUGGAUUAAUUAGUGAAAAAUAUCGGUGUAGUGAUAAAAGUGUGUGGUUGGAGAUAUCUGCGAAAGUGAGAAAUUCCUGGUAUUGACGGUGUUUGGAGCAGGGACAACAAAAGGCGGAGGAGUAAUCUGGAGAGGAGGUGGAUGGAGAAAUCUUGCUGGUGGAGAUGGUGUGCGAUCUCAAUUAGUCGUCCGUAUGCUAAUUGCCACCGACACUUCCUUGAUUAAUUUCACCGAUUGAACCCAACUGGCACGAUUAAUUGGCUACGAUACCUCCUGAAUUGAAAAUGAAGGAUUAUUAUCUGUUGGACUGGUGGGAAAUCGGGAAAAGUAACAGCCCCUGAUCAAUCGCUAUAUGCAGCUGUUUAUUUUUCAUCUUUAUUAUGGAAAGGUGAGAUGAAGAUAGUCCUCUUUUGGUCAAGUGGAAAAAUUUACAUCUCCUAAUGCUGCCUGAGAAUUUUAUUGGAGUUGAAGAGAUCGUUUUAAACCGGAAAUUGAUUGGAGUAAGAUGUAUCGAGAGACUUGGAUUAAUUUAAAUCAAUUAUAUCCCGAUUCCAGCUAAUUCCAGUUAUAAAAAAAAAGCUAUUGCGCAAGUCGGGAUUAUGUUCGCUAAACCUUUCUAGAAUGCUUUAAUUAGUUGGAAAAAAUUGGCACGAGAAUGAAAGCGAUGCUUUUCACCCAGGUUGAGUUGAUUAACCUCCAGGACGAUCCUCGUGAUGGUAUGCAACCCAAGGCAAAUGGUAAAUAUAUAUAGACCGUGUAAAAAGAAGGAAGGAUGAAACGAAUGGAGGAAAAAAACGCGAGGCCACGGUGAUCGUUCUCUUCCUGUCGAUCGAUAUACGAGAGAGCUCCAUCGAGCAGCUUACAUAAUUGCCCGAUUGUCGUUUCGUUUACACAAAAAAAAAAUGAAAUAUAAAAAAAUAUAACACGAUAAACGACUUUCUGUGACAAAACACUUGGAAUUCAAAUGCACGCCUGACGAUUCAACUAUAUUCGUUAACAUAAUUGCUGUGUUAUGACCUUUAAGUGAGAGUUUAAAUAUAGGACUUGGGAUGGGAGGCAGUCCAUUUGUCUCAGUUGAAUGUUUCAUUGGCGGAAUUGAAGUGCAACAACCAACUGUCUGAUCUCGGUAUCAUGCUGCGAUGUGACCCAUCAUAAAUUCAUGAGAGGAUUGAGUUACUCCGGGUGAUGAUUUUGUGGAAAACUAGAUGGAUUUCUGGGAAAAGCCAUUCUUAACACCAACAUCUGGGAGAUUGCAUUUCGCAGAAAUUUGAGGAUUAUUAACGAGAGAUGAAUUCAGAGAAGAAUUUCAUCUCAAAAUUUGCUCCCUCUAAAUCCCAAGAAUGACAUGAAAAGGGAGUGCGGAUCUGAGGUAAAUAAUCAAGUAGAAUAAAAUCCUAUCAACGGUA